rnacentral:misc_RNA from 1 species
GAUGAAGAACGUAGUGAAAUGCGAUAAGUAAUGUGAAUUGCAGAAUUCAGUGAAUCAUCGAAUCUUUGAACGCACAUUGCGCCCGCCAGCACUCUGGCGGGCAUGCCUGUUCGAGCGUCAUUUCAACCAUCAAGCCCCCAGGGGCUUGUGCUGGGGCCCUGCGGCUGCCCGCAGGCCCUGAAAACCAGUGGCGGGCUCGCUAGUCACACCGAGCGCAGUAGCACAUCUCGCUCAGGGCGUGCGGCGGGCUCCUGCCGUGAAACCCCCCACUGUAACCCCAAAGGUUGACCUCGGAUCAGGUAGGAAUACCCGCUGAACUUAAGCAUAUCAAUAAGGGAGGA